AUCUUGGCUCAUAUGGAUAUUCCAGCUUUAGGUUUUUGAGGAAUCUCUGUGCUGGUGAUUACAGUCUCUGCACAAGCUGACAUUCCCGCCAGCAGGCUUUCUUCCUGCACAGUAUUCAUCAGCACUUGUUUGUGUUCUGGAGAGAAGCAUCUAUCUAGUUUGAUCGUCCAUUUAUUCUUUAGAAGUGGGUAUCCAGUUUCCAAAGUACUAGCUGUUGAAGAUACUAUCUUUGGAUAUCUUUGUCAAACAUUAGGUGACUGUAUCUGUUUUUAGUGUUUUACUUGUAUCUAUUGAUUGUCAAAACAACAGAUUUUGCUCUAACACUUUCACGUAUGCCCUUCCUGUUAUUAUAGCAGUCCUCCAUCUUUGCACAACAGGGGACUUUUCCUCUCCAUUAGGUAUGAUGGAUACUGCAUUCUUCAU
rnacentral:lncRNA from 1 species